UAUUAUCGGAGCUUGGUUUUACUUUAGCUUGCAUUUAACUACAGAUUUCUGUGUGCAUAAUGAAAGAGUUAGUGGAAGUAUAGAUGCCUUUUAGUUUACAGCAGUGUUGAAAUUAGUAUUCAGAUCGUAAAACAAUAUUAAAGUGUGAAAAAAACUGCAUACACAACACUUAAGAAAAAGUACAAUAAUAGUAUCAGUACUCUUAAGGCAGAAAGGCCUAAAUUACUUAAUGUUGCAGCUGGUAAAAGUGAGGGUGCUUUUAAUUACUUCAUAUACUCACCUAUAAUAAACCUAAUGAUCUUAUUUGUUGUUUUGUAUGUUUAAUUUGUAAUGUGUAUCCGCAAAGUAUGGAGGUUCUAAAGGAGCAUAACGUUUAACGGGUCUCUACAUUGUCCCGUGAACGUUGCUAAGAGACGCAACUACCGAAACGAGACCCGGUAACCAACAACAACAGCCCGUUGAAAAGCCACGAAGGAGAUCGAUAACUAAUCAAACCAUGGCGUUACCCUUUCUACCCGGGAAUUCUCCCAAUAAACAACUGGGGAAGGAGAGGUUCCACAAAUCCCAACAUUUUGAAUAUUACAAUCAAUUCCCAAUGCUGGCGGGAUCUGAGAAACCAGGCAUCGGAGGAGAGCCGCUCGCGGGCCAGACCAUCAAACCAAAGUACUCCGUCUACCCCAAAGGACGGGGCAGUGAAUUGCCAGCAUGGAUAGCCUUUGACAAACAGGCUCUGUGUUUUGAAGCAUUCUUCCAGGAAGCUGUGCCCGAGGCACAAGACGAGACGUACAGGAUCCGGAGGUGUAAGAUCUACUUCUACCUGGAAGAUGAUACCAUCCAGGUGGUGGAGCCAGAGUACAAGAACAGUGGCAUCCCUCAAGGAACACUCAUUCGUCGCCAACGUGUCCCACUGCCCGCCCCAAAUGAUGACCAGUUCUACCACAUUUAUCAUUUCAACAUCAACCAACAGAUGGUGCUGUACUCACGCGUGUUCACUGUGACCAACUGUGACUCUUUUACACAAAACUUUCUCUCCAAGCUUGGAGUGCGCCUCAAUAACCCUGUCGGUGUACCCGAUGACCCCUACAGCAAACACCGGGAAGAGAUUGAGAAAAGCAUGAAGCCACUUCGGCCGUACGAGACGUGCGACACACUGAAGCAGUUCCUGGACCACGACCGCGAUGUCCUGGGCUUCAACUGCCUCUGGGACGACACGGAGAGUGUGUUCGGGGACCGGCGGGAGCUCCUGCUGCACUACUACCUGGCUGACGACACCAUCGAGAUCCUGGAAGUCGUCUCCCCAAACUCUGGGAGGGACACUGCGCCCAAGUUCCUACGCCGCGGCAAACUGCCCAAGGAUUCAUCCCAAAUGAAGCUUCCCGGACAGAUCACGGACCGCACGGUGCUCAACGUGUUCGCCCCCACGAGUCAGAAAAAACGCUACAUGCUGGACAGCCUCAAAACAGGAGCUGUGCAUGAUGAGUUUUAUAAGGACUGCGAUCUGACUCUGGGCUCCGAGGUGAAUGUAUGGGGCAGGAGAGUGAUCAUCACUGACUGUGACAACUUCACCAAAGACUACUACCGCUCCAAAUACGGCAUAGAGGACUUCCCCCCAGUGGUGUACAAAGUUCCCCCGGCCCCUAAGCCCCUGAGGACCAUGCCCCCCUACAAUGGCUUUGGCUCAGAGGAGGACUCGCUAUGCUCCUGCCAAGGCCUGCUGCCCAAGCCCCCACAGAAAGAUUUCCACAAGUUUAUGGAGAACGACAGAUGCGACGUCAUCAGCGUGCUGAAUUUGCGUGCCAAGAUGGUCACCACCGAUCCGGUUGACAGAGACAGGGUGUUCAUCAUCUACUUCUAUCUCUGCGAUGACUCCAUCUGUGUGUUUGAGCAACCGCAGAAGAACUCAGGUGUGCUCGGUGGAAAGUUCCUGCAGCGUGGCCGUGUAAAAAAGCCCGGCCAGGAGCUGUUUAAGAUCGAGCUAUCCGAGUACUAUAAAGCUCAGGAUCUGUACGUUGGCGCUACCCUGUGCCUCAGCGGGAACCACUUCCAGGUUCUGGAUGCGGAUGAAUGCACCUUCAACUACAUGGAGCAGCAUGCUGAGGAGUUCCCCAAAGCCAACGUGGGAAACAUCCUCAGCAAACUACGAUCUAUUCCGGAGGAGCAACAGAGCGAGAUCCGGAGGUUUCUGACUCUCAGUGACCCCAACAACACCGGCUUCAUUUCCUAUGAGUCGUUCAGGGGCCUGCUCACCGGCCUGGGCUGCGGACUGUCGGAGCACGAGGUGCUGGUGCUGGGCCGAAGCUUCUCGGAGCGCGAGCAGCCCGAGGCGGACGUGGGCCUGAUGCUGGCUGUGGCCCAGGACUACCUCAAGAAGAAGCACUUUGAAGAGUUCCCUGACAUGGACAGAGCCUUCACAUACCGCGACCAACACAAGAGCGGCCGUCUCUCCACCAAAGAAACGAGGACGAUCUGUAAGGCCUUCCACCUUCCUCUGCCCGAGAAGCUGCUGGGGGGUCUGCUCAGCCAGUUUGCAGAUAGGGACGAGAUCGACUACCAUGCCUUCCUGGCUGGCAUUAACUGGUUAGAGAACCCCGCCCCCCCGGUAAUGCCCGAAGACGCGGUAAAGCUGGACGUGAACCGCAGGUCUGGCGCCGGCGGGGCUGCAGGGAGGAACGUCAACUACUCCUCCCUCCUGAGGGAUGUGUUCAGCUUUCCCUCCAACAGCGCUGACCCAACAACCUCCACCACAACCUAGGCACAAGCUGGGAGAUGGGAUUCACAUUUGGCCGCGCUGACCAUUUCCUUCAUGUGAUAUUAUGAUACAUUAUCUGAAGCCAUUUACUCCCUGUCACCGCCCUCCUCGUGGACACAAGCCGAGUCAGCCAAGGAGGGGCGGUCAGAUUCUGUCCAGGAGCCUGUUGGUGGCGAAUACAUGCUCCACCUCUCCUGCGGCCGGCUGUAAAUCGCCGCUGUCGAAGGCAUGUUGGAAGAAUGCAGCUCGGGCUCCGGCUGCGUGUUCCUCUUUCCUUUUGGAGUGCAGCUUCGCCGUCAGUGUCGCUUUCCUGAACGCUGAACUCAUUUCGGUAACUCAAACUGUUCAGAAUAAACCCGCGAAACCCGU